AAAGGAUGUGGUCUGGUGUCUGUAGGUAAAGGAUGUGGUCUGGUGUCUGUAGGUAAAGGAUGUGGUCUGGUGUCUGUAGGUAAAGGACGUGGUCUGGUGUCUGUAGGUAAAGGACGUGGUCUGGUGUCUGUAGGUAAAGGACGUGGUCUGGUGUCUGUAGGUAAAGGACGUGGUCUGGUGUCUGUAGGUAAAGGAUGUGGUCUGGUGUCUGUAGGUAAAGGAUGUGGUCUGGUGUCUGUAGGUAAAGGAUGUGGUCUGGUGUCUGUAGGUAAAGGAUGUGGUCUGGUGUCUGUAGGUAAAGGAUGUGGUCUGGUGUCUGUAGGUAAAGGAUGUGGUCUGGUGUCUGUAGGUAAAGGAUGUGGUCUGGUGUCUGUAGGUAAAGGACGUGGUCUGGUGUCUGUAGGUAAAGGAUGUGGUCUGGUGUCUGUAGGUAAAGGAUGUGGUCUGGUGUCUGUAGGUAAAGGAUGUGGUCUGGUGUCUGUAGGUAAAGGACGUGGUCUGGUGUCUGUAGGUAAAGGACGUGGUCUGGUGUCUGUAGGUAAAGGAUGUGGUCUGGUGUCUGUAGGUAAAGGACGUGGUCUGGUGUCUGUAGGUAAAGGACGUGGUCUGGUGUCUGUAGGUAAAGGACGUGGUCUGGUGUCUGUAGGUAAAGGACGUGGUCUGGUGUCUGUAGGUAAAGGACGUGGUCUGGUGUCUAGGUAAAGGAUGUGGUCUGGUGUCUAGGUAAAGGAUGUGGUCUGGUGUCUGUAGGUAAAGGAUGUGGUCUGGUGUCUGUAGGUAAAGGAUGUGGUCUGGUGUCUGUAGGUAAAGGAUGUGGUCUGGUGUCUGUAGGUAAAGGAUGUGGUCUGGUGUCUGUAGGUAAAGGAUGUGGUCUGGUGUCUGUAGGUAAAAGGAUGUGGUCUGGUGUCUGUAGGUAAAGGAUGUGGUCUGGUGUCUGUAGGUAAAGGAUGUGGUCUGGUGUCUGUAGGUAAAGGAUGUGGUCUGGUGUCUGUAGGUAAAGGAUGUGGUCUGGUGUCUGUAGGUAAAGGACGUGGUCUGGUGUCUGUAGGUAAAGGACGUGGUCUGGUGUCUGUAGGUAAAGGAUGUGGUCUGGUGUCUGUAGGUAAAGGAUGUGGUCUGGUGUCUUUAGGUAAAGGAUGUGGUCUGGUGUCUGUAGGUAAAGGAUGUGGUCUGGUGUCUGUAGGUAAAGGAUGUGGUCUGGUGUCUGU